rnacentral:misc_RNA from 1 species
GACACAUAUAGCUAUCAAUCAAAUAUGAAAUAAAUAUCUUUAUUAUUUUUAAUUUUUAUAGCAAACAUACGAUGGAUUGUAUUUUUUUAAAAAUUUAGCUUUUAACGUUUAUUAGAUCAUCUACAUGUAAGCCUGCCAAAGGUGAUGAAUGCCAGAAUUUAAAGAUGUCGGCAACGACUGUUCUACUAAAGAUUCGAAGAGCAAUCUGUUUCAAUAUAUAUAAACCCGCAAAGCCAUUAACCUUCAAUCCACAGAUUUCAUUGAGAACUAGAGAUUGAGAGGAGAAUGGCAAGUCAGUGUCCAGUUAAGGAUGCAUGGCCGGAGCUCAUCGGGACAAACGGGGACAUUGCAGCGGGUAUCAUAGAGACAGAGAAUGCAAAUGUGAAGGCAAUCGUGCUCAAGAAGGGAUCGCCUAUGACUAUGGAAUACAAUUUAUGCAGGGUCCUGGUUUUCGUGGAUGAUAAUCGGGUGGUCACUCAAGCUCCUGUCAUUGGCUAAACAACGAAUUUAUUACCUCAAUGGAGCAGAAAUUAUAUAAUAAAGAAGUGAUCGCAAAUAAAUAAUCUAUGUUCUUUGUGAUUUGGGGAAUAAGAACUUGUGUUAAUUUAGAUUCAUGGGGAUCCUAUAUAAGCAAUUGAAAGUUUGAUUAUUAUUCCAAUUAAAUAAAAAUAGAUUAGUAGGUUCA